rnacentral:tRNA from 1 species
GGAAGAUUGGCCGAGAGCCUAAGGCUCUCGCCUGCUAAGCGAGAGUCCCUAUCAGGGGGCACGCGGGUUCGAAUCCCGCAUCUUCCGCCA